rnacentral:rRNA from 1 species
UGCAAGUCGAGCGCGAAUGGAGCAAUCCUAGUAGAGCGGCGCACGGGUGCGUAACACGUGGAUAAUCUGCCUGGAAGCUUGGGAUAACUAGUCGAAAGAUUAGCUAAUACCAAAUAAGCCCACAGAGACUUCGGUCUUCGAGGGAAAAGGUGGCCUCUGUAUACAAGCUAUCACUUCUAGAUGAGUCCGCGGCCCAUCAGCUAGUUGGCGGGGUAACGGCCCACCAAGGCAACGACGGGUAGCUGGUCUGAGAGGACGAUCAGCCACACUGGAACUGAGACACGGUCCAGACUCCUACGGGAGGCAGCAGUGGGGAAUUUUGCACAAUGGGCGAAAGCCUGAUGCAGCAACGCCGCGUGUGUGAUGAAGGUUUUCGGAUCGUAAAGCACUUUCGACCGGGACGAACACCCUUUGGCUAACAUCCAAAGGCUUGACGGUACCGGGAGAAGAAGCACCGGCUAACUCUGUGCCAGCAGCCGCGGUAAUACAGAGGGUGCAAGCGUUGUUCGGGAUUAUUGGGCGUAAAGCGCGUGUAGGCGGCUUUGCAAGUCGGGUGUGAAAGCCCUCAGCUCAACUGAGGAAGUGCGCCCGAAACUGCAUAGCUUGAGUACCGGAGAGGAUGGUGGAAUUCCCCAAGUAGAGGUGAAAUUCGUAGAUUAUGGGGAGGAACACCGGUGGCGAAGGCGACCAUCUGGACCGGAUACUGACGCUGAGACGCGAAAGCGUGGGUAGCAAACAGGAUUAGAUACCCUGGUAGUCCACGCCAUAAACGAUGAGAACUAGGUGUCGGGGGUGUUGACCCCUGCGGUGCCGUAGCUAACGCAUUAAGUUCUCCGCCUGGGAAGUACGGCCGCAAGGCUAAA